UCGUAACAAGGUCUCCGUUGGUGAACCAGCGGAGGGAUCAUUACAGAGUUGCAAAACUCCCUAAACCAUUGUGAACGUUACCUAAACCGUUGCUUCGGCGGGCGGCCCCGGGGUUUACCCCCCGGGCGCCCCUGGGCCCCACCGCGGGCGCCCGCCGGAGGUCACCAAACUCUUGAUAAUUUAUGGCCUCUCUGAGUCUUCUGUACUGAAUAAGUCAAAACUUUCAACAACGGAUCUCUUGGUUCUGGCAUCGAUGAAGAACGCAGCGAAAUGCGAUAAGUAAUGUGAAUUGCAGAAUUCAGUGAAUCAUCGAAUCUUUGAACGCACAUUGCGCCCGCCAGUAUUCUGGCGGGCAUGCCUGUUCGAGCGUCAUUUCAACCAUCAAGCCCCGGGCUUGUGUUGGGGACCUGCGGCUGCCGCAGGCCCUGAAAAGCAGUGGCGGGCUCGCUGUCACACCGAGCGUAGUAGCAUACAUCUCGCUCUGGGCGUGCUGCGGGUUCCGGCCGUUAAACCACCUUUUAACCCAAGGUUGACCUCGGAUCAGGUAGGAAGACCCGCUGAACUUAAGCAUAUCA
rnacentral:misc_RNA from 1 species